GGAUCGGCAGUGUUGGUUUUUCGUUGUGUGUGGAAGCGGGUCGACAGAGGGAUCGGGAUCGGGAGGGGGUCCUCGCCCCCUUGGAUGGGGAGCCGGAGACAGAUUAUUCUCUGCGGGUCAACACCAAAAAUUUUCCUUCGAUCUGCGGUGAGAAAUUUAUUGGAAGAAAUAUCCACAACUGGAAGCAAACCACAACUGAAGACGAGGGAGCAGCAACAAGUGAACCAGUCCGAGGAUUGAGAGCAUCAACUGGAGAGGACCCAUCUGACUCGGAGAUUCCAGUGAUUCAGUCAGGAGAAAGUUUGGUGAGUCUCAUUCACUCAAACACUGGUCCUUUGGACAUUACAUUUCUGCACCAAGGAAGGGAGGAAAUAGCUGGAGCAGGAUUGAAUAAAUAUAGAGGUGCCGGUUGCAAUCACUCCAGAUUUGCUAAUGUGCUGUCAGCAUCCCAGAUCUGUGAAGCCACACACAUUCCCUCAUAUUGUUUGCUCAUUUCAAACUCUUAUCAGUUCUGCUGUUUUCUUGCUUGGCUGUGUUAGGUCACAAUAAUCUCAAAAUGCAUUGAGAAUUUCCUCCCUUUAUAAGAGGCCACAGUUGGUUCCUACUGUAGUGAUUGCAGAAAUGUGGAAUUACCAUGAACUUCAGCAACGUUGCAUUGAUUCCUCUGUCUAUUGCAAGCUGCAAUGAUACACUUGCCCUCGAGUAUAUCGUCGUGCAAGCCUCUGCUAAGAACAAACCCUCUUGAAGCCAAAUGUCCCAGCACCACAUUUCAUUCAGUCCGAACUAGCAAAUGCCAACCAAUCAUUUACAUUUCCAUACACUGUCGUCAUCAAAUACUUCCCUACUAAUAAAUUGUCAGAGCCUACAAAUCUGUGAUUAAGCAGAAUUAGGUUUUACAAUGAAGUUAUGUUCACCUUUGACCCUGUACCAAACGCAUAGAUCUGUACUUGAGUUGAACAAAUGUUCUUGCAGCCAGCACUGUUGGAGCUGCCAGGGUCAGUUUAAACUCAGUCAAUGUGGGAUGGGAAUGAGAGUGUUUGGUCAGAUGAUAGAAGAGUUGAUAUAAAGGUAGAUGCCAAGUUCACAGAGAUUGUGGAAGGAUCAGAUGUGGACAGGGCAUCAUAUAGUCAGUUCAAAAUGAGUUUAAUUCUAUACAAUAAGUAUUAAGAAUACGAGUAACUUAGAACAUGGAUGGUACAUGUUAUCACCAUUACACAGACUAGACUGUUACAAGGGCAGGGUUGGUGUUUGAUGCUCCAGGUUUUAGUUGUUUCAUAAUACACGGGGGGUGGGGGGGGGGGAGAGAGCGGGUGGUGGUGAAAGGGGAGAAUUGUCUUUACUAAUUAGGGAUGGUAUCACAGCUACAUAAACAGUGGACAUCAAUGUAGCUGAAAGUCAGAAAUGGGAAGGGGGCUAUCAUUCCGUUAGUAUUCUAUAGGCCACCCCCAAAGCGGCAGGGAUAAUGAGAGCAGAUAACUUGGCAGUUUUGGGAAAGGUGCAAAAGCAACAAGGUUGUUGUCAUCGUUGACAUCAACUUUCCUGAUGUUGACCCCACCUCCUUGUUCCAAAAUGUGUCAAUGGGGCAGAAUGUGUUGUGUGUCCAGGAUGAAUACCUGACAUAGUAUGUGGAUGGGCUAACUAGAGGAGUUGCCAUUCUGCAUCUAGUAUGAGGCAAUGAUGCUGGUCAGGUGACAGAUAUCAUGAUGGGUGACCUUUUUGAGACAGUGACCACAACACCCCAACUUUUAUCAUGGUCAUGGACAAGGAUAUUAGCAGACGAUAUGAGGCAGUAUUUAAUUAGUGGAUGGAUAGUUACAAUGGUGUUCGGAGCAACUUGUGAGAGUAAAUUGGGAAAACAUUUUCAAAGGGAAAUGUACAAUGAAACUGUGAAGGUUGUUUCAGGAACACUUGAAUGUGGUUCGGGGUAGGUUUGUUCCACACACAGUGAAAGAAUGUUUAUAUAAAUGAACCGUGGUUCUCAAGAGAUGAGAACAUUUUAGCAAAAGGGAAAUGGAAGCAUUGUUUAGGUUUAGGAAGCAACAUUCGAGCAAGGCUCUAGUGAAUUAUAAGGUAGCCUGGAAGGAGCUUAAAAAGUGACUUAGAGGUUGAAAGGAACAUGAGGAGUCCUUUGGAAGUUGGAUAAAUGAAAGCCCUAGGUGUUGCAAGGACACAAAAUUAGUAGAUGGUACUCAUGAUGAAGAUUAUCGUAGCUUAUAGGGGAUCUAAAUGGGCAAAGUAGAUUGCAAAACCAACACGAGCAGCAAUGGUUUCAUGCAGAGGAUGGUGAUUAUGUGGAGGGACCUGCCAGAGGAAGUGGAUGAGGCAGGCACAAUUGUAUAAUUCUUGAAGUUGGGAUGUGAAGAUGGAAUGAAGAGGCCUGGAGGGAAAUGGGCCCAACUUAGAAAAUAAUGACCAUCUGUGUGGGCACUGUGGUCAGCAUUGUCUCAAUGGGCUGAAAUGUCUGUGUCUGCGCUCUCUUGCUCUGUGACUCUAUCAGUAGGAUGUAACAGAUAUCACUGGACAGACAUACAGACAUGGUGUGGGAGUUGAUGUUAACAGGGAAUGUUUGAUCCCUAAGCAAACUGCUGCUCUGAUUCAGAGGACGGCGGUACUGUCACAUUUGUAAAGUAAUCCUACCCUCUCUGACUCACUGUCUGCUAGUUUUGUGCAAUUCAGGGCAUCACCAGCAGGUGGAGCUGUCCUGCACCGCGACCAAAGUGUAAACAAGAAGACGACAAUCAACAACCGUCAGUCAGAAUCAGAAUGGCUACAGGUAUGUUCACUGGGAUCUUUAUAAUUAAACUUCUGCCCUGUUGAUGCACAGUAGUUCAGAUGAAGAAACUCACACAGGCACUAACAGGGCAGAGAAGUGUUUCAUCAAGCAGUGUCAUUGACCCCACUGGUAAAGCGGCUUUGUGUAAUCGAUCAUUCCAACAGUUCCAGCGCAGGGACCUGACACCAGUAAUGGUCGAAUGACUCCGCUCACCAGGCAAAGCUUCACCUGAGUGAAAGGAGCCGGAGACCCUGAAUCAGCAGGUUGAGGGUGAAACACUAAGAGGAAUGUGGUGUUGUUCAUUACGGUAAAGCCCAGGUUCAGGGUUUGUUACACAUCAGGGCCUGUUUAGAGGUGAAAGACAUCUCCAACUUUCAUUUAUAAAAUUCAGAGUCAGGUGAUAAGAGCAUUUCCGGUUUUUCAGAGAUUCUGUGAUAAUACAUUUCGGGUUCUGUCAGGACAGCUAUCAACUCCCCCCUCAAUGCGCAAAGUAGAUGAGGGGAAUUUUCCAAACUCUGUUUUCCAUAGCUGAGCCGAGAACAUUGCCAGCCUUGGAAGUGGCUGAGGAUCAGGACACACUUCAUUUUAGAUAAACUUGUGGUCUGCUUUGGUGCACCACUGUCAGGUAUGGAGGGGCUACUGCACAGGACUGAAAGAAGCUGCAGAAGGUUGUAAAUCUAGUCAGCUCCAUCUUGGGUACUCGCCUACAAAUUUCCCAAGACAUCUUUAGGAAACUGGGUCUCAGAAAGGCAGCGUCCAUUAUUAAGGACCUCCAGCACCCAGGGCAUGCCCUUUUCUGAAUGUUACCAUCAGAAAGCAGGUACAAAAGCCUGAAGGUACACAACUCCGCGAAUCAGGAGCAGCUCCUUCCCCUCUGCCAUCCAGUUCCUAAAUGGGCAUCCAAUCUUUGGACACAACCUUACUUUAUUUAUAAUAUACAUUCUUUAUGAUUUUGCAUGUUUUUAAAAAUCUAUUCAACAUACGUAAUUAGUUUACUUAUUUGUUUAUUAUAUUUUAUUUUAUCCAUUAUUAUUUGUUCCCUGCUAGAUUAUGUAUUGCAUUGUACUGCUGCUAAGUUAAGAAAUUUCACGUCACAUGUUGGUGAUAAUAAACCUGAUUCUAAUUCUGUUUUAAUACCCCAAUCCAUGCCUGGUCUGUGGCCAAAUGGUGAACGUGAGUUCUCAAUAUUUCCCUCUUGAGAUGACCUGCUACCUGAAUUUAAAUACUCAGUAUCUCUGAUCAGAGACCCGGUAUAACCAAUGACCAACUGUCUUUGUCUCCAGCAGAUAUUGUGAUCGUGCUCAAAUCUGUGAUUUUAGGUGGAAUAAAAUGGAGAUUACAGUGUGGAAACUGGUCUUCAGCCCAACUAAUUCAUGCUGUUCUAAAUGUCUCUGAGCUUGUCGAAUUUCCCAGCAGCUUUUCCCAAAUUUCCCUUGCAGACUUCUUCUAUCCUUUUUCCUUCCACAUAUUCUCAACUUUGUAAUUUUAUUUGUG